rnacentral:lncRNA from 1 species
ACUCAUCUCAAACUCACCUUACAUAAAUCUAGUAAAAUCUCUAUACAAGACUUCAUUAGUAGCAUCGAAUAUAAUAUCAUUGACAUACAAUUGCACAAUCAAUAAAUCAUUUGAUUUUUUCUUUAUAAAUAAUGUUUUAUCUAUAUUUUCUCUUUUAAAUUAUUGUUUAGUAAAAACUUACUCCAUCUAUCAUACUAAGCCCUAAAUGCUUAUUUUAAUUCAUAUAAAGCUUUCUUAAGUUUGUAUAC